AUCCAUCUGACGAGUUCCAAAUAGGAUGAAACGCGCGUUGUGAAU
rfam:Schistosoma rodhaini strain Burundi genome assembly, scaffold: SROB_scaffold0003592